rnacentral:rRNA from 1 species
UACGAAGGGGGCUAGCGUUGCUCGGAAUCACUGGGCGUAAAGGGUGCGUAGGCGGGUCUUUAAGUCAGGGGUGAAAUCCUGGAGCUCAACUCCAGAACUGCCUUUGAUACUGAGGAUCUUGAGUUCGGGAGAGGUGAGUGGAACUGCGAGUGUAGAGGUGAAAUUCGUAGAUAUUUGCAAGAACACCAGUGGCGAAGGCGGCUCACUGGCCCGAUACUGACGCUGAGGCACGAAAGCGUGGGGAGCAAACAGG